GAAUUAUUAUGUUUUCUGUUCACAAUCCAAACAUAGUUCUUCAAUACCCUGAAACCCAUCUCUGAGUUUAUUGGUCUUAAGCUUAAACAAAAAAUACCUUUGCUCAUUGUCUUUAAGAAUUAAUCUCUUACUAUUUCUGUUUUAUUAAUUUUUCUUUCAGUUUUUUGCUAUUUUCCCAUUCCUACUGCAAAAACCAAAAAAAAAAAAAAAACAAAACUCAAAAAUAGUGAACGAAAGUUAUCUUACAUAUAUUCUCUGCAUUUUAAUUUGUUAUCACUCUGUUCAUUUCAAAGAUUGGAGUUUCUUCAACAAGUGAUCAUUUAGUUUUUUCAUUUCGAAGCCAAUUUGCAUCAGUCUUCACAAUCCAGUAGCUUUGUCAUUUCAAAGCCAAUUUGCAUCGAUCUGCAUAAUCCAGCAGAUCAUUCAGUUUCAAAGGUUAUCUCCUAUAUUCUGUUCGUUUCAAAGGUUGGAGUUUCUUCCUUCCAAAAAAAAAAAAGUUGGAGUUUCUUGAACAAGUAGAUUUUGACUCAAGUCACAAGGAAGAGCAGAAGAAAAAAAAAAUCAAUGGAAAUUUUAAUUUCUAUUGUUGGAAAAAUAGCAGAAUAUACCGUUGUGCCUAUUGGACGUCAAGCAAGUUACUUGAUAUUCUACAAAGGUUACUUCAAGACGUUAAAGGAUCAUGUUGAAGACCUUGAGGCUGCAAGAGAAAGAAUGAUCCAUUCAGUUAAAAGUGAAAGGGAAAAUGGUAAAGAAAUUGAAAAAGAUGUUAUGAAUUGGUUGGAGAAAGUGGAUGGGGUCAUUAAAGAGGCGAAUCAACUUCAAAACGAUUCUCACAAUGCAAAUGUUAGGUGCUCACCAUGGUCAUUCCCAAAUUUAAUUUUGCGUCAUCAACUAAGUAGGAAUGCCACAAAAAUUGCAAAUAAUGUUGUUGAAGUUCAAGGGAAAGAAAAGUUUAAUUCAUUUGGUCACCUUCCUCCUCUAGAUGUAGUAGCCUCCUCCUCAACAAGAGAUGGUGAAAUGUAUGACACAAGGGAGUCUCUAAAGAAGGACAUUGUGAAGGCUUUAGGAGAUUCUACUUCAUGCAACAUUGGGAUCUAUGGGUUGGGUGGGGUUGGGAAGACCACUCUGGUGGAGAAAGUUACUCAAAUAGCCAAGGAACAUAAUUUGUUCGAUAAAGUGGUUAAGGCAGAAGUAUCGAAAAAAUCAGACAUUAGAAGAAUUCAAGGGGAGAUUGCAGAUUUCUUGGGUCUUCGAUUUGAAGAGGAGAGUAUUCCCGGCAGAGCAGAACGCCUUAGACAAAGAAUCAAGAUGGAGAGAAGUGUCCUUAUCAUUCUUGAUAACAUAUGGACCAUAGUCGAUUUGAAAGAAGUGGGGAUACCAGUUGGUAAUGAACAUAAUGGUUGCAAAUUGAUGCUCAAACUUGGUAAUGAACAUAGUGUUUGAGAAGCUGGAAAGAUAUAAAAUAGCUAUUGGAGAUGUAUGGGACUGGUCUGACAUCAAGGAUGGAACCUUAAAAACAUUGAUGCUCAAACUUGGUACAAACAUACAUUUGGAGCAUGGAAUUAAAGCAUUGAUUGAAGAUGUUGAGAAUUUGUAUUUGGAUGAUGUAGAUGGAAUUCAAAAUGUGCUUCCUAACCUAAAUAGAGAAGGAUUUACAUUGCUGAAACAUCUCCACGUCCAAAAUAAUACUAACUUGAAUCACAUUGUUGACAAUAAAGAGAGAAAUCAAAUCCAUAUGUCCUUUCCCAUCUUGGAAACACUAGUACUUCUUAAUCUUAGAAACUUGGAGCAUAUAUGUCAUGGUCAACCUUCAGUUGCUUCUUUUGGAAGUCUCAGUGUUAUCAAAGUAAAAAAUUGCGUCCAGUUAAAGUAUCUUUUCUCCUUUACAAUGGUUAAAGGACUUUCUCACCUUUGUACGAUUGAAGUUUGUGAUUGCAAUUCUAUGAAGGAGAUAGUGUUCAGAGACAACAAUUCAAGUGCUAAUAAUGAUAUCACUGAUGAAAAAAUCGAGUUUCUUCAAUUGCGUUCUUUGACUUUAGAACAUUUGGAAACACUUGAUAAUUUCUUCUCAUAUUAUUUGACACAUUCAAGAAGUAAGCAAAAGUGUCAUGCUUUAGAGCCGAAUGUUUCUGCACCAUUUUUCAAUUCUCAGGUUGCAUUUCCUAUUUUGGAUACCCUUAAAUUGAGCUCACUUCUCAAUUUGAAUAAAGUUUGGGAUGACAAUCAUCAAUCUAUGUGCAACUUGACUAGCUUGAUUGUGGAUAAUUGCAAUGGAUUGAAGUAUUUAUUCUCUUCUUCGUUUGUUGAAAGUUUUAUGAACCUCAAACACCUUGAAAUAACUAAUUGUCCUAUGAUGGAGGAGAUAAUAGCUGAAGAAGAUAGAAAUAAUGCAGUGGAAGAGGUUCAUCUUUUAAAAUUAGAGAAAAUCAUAUUGAAGGAUAUGGACAACUUGAAGACAAUAUGGCAUCACCAAUUUGAAACAUUGAAGAUGUUGGAAGUGAACAAUUGUAAGAAAAUAGUUGUGGUUUUUCCUUCUUCAACGCAAAACACGUAUAAUGAGCUUGAGAAGUUGGAAGUUAGAAAUUGUGCUCUAGUUGAAGAGAUAUUUGAGUUGACUUUCAAUGAAAAUAACAGCGAAGAUGUUGCAACACAUUUGAAAGAAGUUACUAUAGGAAGAUUGUCGAAGCUGAAAAAGAUAUGGAGUGGAGAUCCUCAAGGAAUUCUUAUAAAUUGGAAUAUUGUGCAAACUUGGAGUAUCUAUUACCACUCUCUGUAGCCACUCGUUGCUCACAUCUCAAGGAACUUAGUAUAAAAUGGUGUGAGAACAUGAAGCAAAUUGUUGGAGAGGAGAAAGAAUCUAGUGUGAAUGAAGCUCCCAUAUUUGAGUUUAAUCAGCUAAGUACUUUAUUGCUUUGGAAAUUACACAACCUCAAAGGUUUCUAUGCUGGAAAUCAUACUCUAGCAUGCCCAUCUUUGAGGAAUAUUAAUGUUUCCAGAUGUACAAAGUUGAAAUUGUUCAGAACACUAUCUACAACAAGCUCCAAUUUUCGAGAUGACAGACACUCUCUUUUAAUGCAACAACCACUUUUCGUUGCCGAAGAGGUGAUUCCAAACUUGGAGCUGUUGAGGAUGGUACACGCAGAUGCUGACAUGAUAUUUCAAACCCAAAAUUCAAGUGCCCUCUUUAGAAAAAUGACCAUUUUUGGUUUGAGUUGCUAUAACAGUGAAGAACCAAGAUUUCCCUAUUGGUUUCUUGAAAAUGUGCAUACUAUUGAGACACUAUAUGUUGAGUGGAGUUGCUUCAAGACGAUAUUCGAAGAUAAAGGAGAAAUAAGUGAGAGGACUCAUGCACAAAUAAAAAAUUUGACAUUGAAUGAAUUGUUGGAACAAAAUGUGUUUCACAAUGAACCUUAUUAAGUUUUGAUGAUAACAAGGUAUUAAAAAUUGUCAAUUGGU